CUCUCACUCUGGUGGCGUGGAUGUACAUGCCGCGCCAGCAGGAAAAGGGAAAAAAAAAACACGCGAAAAGAGGAGGAGGAGGAGGAAGAAUUCCAUCGACAGCCCUCCCUCGGAACUAUCGGAUCUCGGGAAGAAGAUAUAUCCAUCGCUGGCACCCGUCGUCUUCCUCCCCCUUCUUCCCCAUCCCAUCUUCGUCCACUCGCGAGCUCGCCAUUAAUCCCACUCCACUCGGCUCCAGAGGGCCGGCCGGCGGCCUCCGCUCGAAGUCGAAGGUGCGACGACGUCGUUUUCCACCCGUCCCCACGUCAGCCACUCCACUCCCGGAAGGUCCCCCUCUCGCCCCCCGUUAAGAUGAUGCGGUGCGCCGUGAGGGGCGGCGGUGCUCACGUCGUCAUCGGCGAGCGGAGGUCGCCGUCGUCGUCGCCCGGCAGCGGAAGGAGCGUCGUGCGGAUGUCGGAGGGCCGCGGCGGGCUCUGCUGCGGCGGCGUGAGGUCGCGCGCGGCGGAUCUCGCGGGGCUCGAGAUGGGCAGGCCCAGCGCCGGCGCCGCGGGGCUCUUCCGGAGCCCGCGCUACGGCCGCGUGCGCGCCACCGCCUCAGCUGACCCCGAGGAUAUUCCAUCUGACAAGCUUCAAGCUAAAUCAUCUGGGAGUGUUCUGCCGUACGUUGGCGUUGCUUGCUUGGGGGCAAUUCUGUUUGGCUACCAUCUUGGUGUGGUCAAUGGCGCGCUUGAAUAUCUCUCGAAAGAUCUUGGGAUUGCUGAAAAUGCUGUGUUACAAGGAUGGGUGGUUAGCACAACCCUGGCUGGCGCGACAGUAGGUUCUUUUACUGGAGGGGCUUUGGCUGAUAAAUUAGGGAGAACACGGACAUUUAUCCUAGAUGCCAUCCCUCUUGCUGUAGGCGCAUUCUUGAGUGCAACAGCUCAAGAUGUCCGUACAAUGAUUAUUGGUCGAUUACUUGCUGGGAUUGGUAUUGGGAUCUCUUCCGCUCUUGUGCCGCUUUACAUAUCUGAGAUCUCACCAACUGAAAUACGUGGAGCACUUGGUACGAUUAAUCAACUUUUUAUCUGCAUUGGAAUUCUUGCAGCUUUGGUAGCUGGAUUGCCAUUAGCACAAAAUCCUGCAUGGUGGAGGACAAUGUUUGGAAUUUCAGUAGUUCCAUCUAUUUUGCUGGCUCUAGGAAUGGCUGUUUCACCUGAAAGCCCUCGCUGGCUAUUCCAGCAAGGAAAGAUUUCUCAAGCGGAAGCAGCUAUAAAAAAAUUGUAUGGGAAAGAGAAGGUUACUGAAGUUAUGUAUGACCUAAAGGCUAGUGGGCAAGGAUCUAAUGAGCCAGAUGCCAGCUGGUUUGAUCUAUUCAGCAAACGCUAUUGGAAAAUUGUGAGCGUGGGAGCGGCACUGUUUUUGUUGCAGCAACUUGCUGGCAUAAAUGCUGUUGUGUACUACUCUACAUCAGUGUUCCGCAGUGCAGGCAUUGCAUCUGAUGUUGCAGCGAGUGCUCUUGUUGGUGCUGCCAAUGUUUUUGGCACCAUGAUUGCAUCUUCACUGAUGGACAAGCAAGGGAGGAAGAGCCUUCUCAUAACAAGCUUUUCUGGAAUGGCGGCGUCGAUGUUACUCUUGUCAUUGUCCUUCACCUGGAAGGCUUUGGCACCUUAUUCUGGCACUCUUGCUGUUGUUGGCACUGUCCUGUAUGUGCUGUCAUUCGCUCUUGGAGCUGGCCCUGUUCCAGCUUUGCUCCUUCCUGAAAUAUUUGCCUCCAGAAUAAGGGCCAAGGCUGUAGCAUUAUCAAUGGGCAUGCACUGGGUAUCCAACUUCUUCAUCGGCCUGUACUUCCUGAGCGUCGUCAACAAGUUUGGAAUCAGCACCGUGUACUUGGGAUUCGCGUCCGUGUGUGCUCUCGCGGUCCUGUACAUUGCCGGGAAUGUGGUCGAGACCAAGGGGCGAUCCCUGGAAGAGAUUGAGCGGGAGCUAAGCCCGCCCAAUAAAGCCGAUGCUAAUGCUUUCUUGGUGAGUGAUCAAUGAGCACCGAGCAGAAACCAUCCUUGGACCUGGGGAUGUUGUCUCUGCCUUUUAUGAGUAGUUCCUGAAAGAGUAACUCUUCCUGAAAUAAGUGAGCCGCAAGAUCACCUGACGCCAUGCAAACCGCCUGGUGCUCAGGGUGUUGUGGCACCAGUGAAGCUCAGCUAUUUCUUGUUACAUCUCAAAAUCAAAGAGCUUAUGUGUCAUUGCUCCGGGAGGUGCAAGAUUUAGGCUGGCUGUUAGCCCUUGGAUGUCAUCGUUUUUGAGUGUACAGAUGAUCUCCUUGUAUGUGUCGGAAAUAAAACUCCGAUUUGCCGAAUUUCAAAGCGUGAUGUGUAAUUAUGCUUACCAAUUGAAAAUGCCCUAUCUCGUACUGUGUAAAUGAGAUCUUGAUGCAGCGGUAAAUCGGUAAGUACUCCACACAGUUCAUGUGUUCAUUUGUGAGCGGGUGCGUCUAAGUCAAGUGAUG
rnacentral:rRNA from 1 species